rnacentral:lncRNA from 1 species
GUCAUUGGUGUCCCCAUGUCCCCGUACCCCAAUUUUGGCGUCCCCAUUGUCCCCUUUUCCCCAUCCCCAACACCCCACAGACCUUGGUGCCCCAUUCCCGGUGUCAUUGAUGUCCCCAUGUCCCCGUACCCCAACUUUGGUGUCAUUGGUGUCCCCAUGUCCCUGUACCCCAAUUUUGGUGUCCCCACAUCCUCGUACCCCAACUUUGGUGUCAUUGGUGUCCCCAUGUCCCUGUACCCCAAUUUUGGUGUCCCCACAUCCUCGUACCCCAAUUUUGGUGUCAUUGGUGUCCCCAUUGUCCCCAUUGUCCCCAUUGUCCCCCUUGUCCCCAUUGUCCCCCUUCCUCCAUCCCCAACAC